CCUACGGGAGGCAGCAGUGAGGAAUAUUGGUCAAUGGGCGCGAGCCUGAACCAGCCAAGUAGCGUGAAGGAUGACUGCCCUACGGGUUGUAACCCUCUUUUAUAAAGGAGUAAAGUGAGGCACGUGUCCCUUUUUGUAUGUACUUUAUGAAUAAGGAUCGGCUAACUCCGUGCCAGCAGCCGCGGUAAUACGGAGGGUCCGAGCGUUAUACGGAUUUAUUGGGGUUAAAGGGAGCGUAGAUGGGUUGUUAAGUCAGUUGUGAAAGUUUGCGGCUUAACCGUAAAAUUGCAAUUGAUACUGGUAGUCUUGAGUACAGUUGAGGUAGGUGGAAUUCGUGGUGUAGCGGUGAAAUGCUUAGAUAUCACGAAGAACUCCGAUUGCGAAGGCAGCUUACUAAACUGCCACUGACAUUGAUGCGCGAAAGUGUGGGUAUCAAACAGGAUUAGAUACCCUAGUAGUC
rnacentral:rRNA from 1 species